UGCUAAAUGAGUCUUGCACAAACCACACAGC
rnacentral:piRNA from 1 species